rnacentral:rRNA from 1 species
GACGAACGCUGGCGGCGUGCUUAACACAUGCAAGUCGAACGGAAAGGCCCUGCUUUUGUGGGGUGCUCGAGUGGCGAACGGGUGAGUAACACGUGAGUAACCUGCCCUUGACUUUGGGAUAACUUCAGGAAACUGGGGCUAAUACCGGAUAGGAGCUCCUGCUGCAUGGUGGGGGUUGGAAAGUUUCGGCGGUUGGGGAUGGACUCGCGGCUUAUCAGCUUGUUGGUGGGGUAGUGGCUGACCACGGCUUUGACGGGUAGCCGGCCUGAGAGGGUGACCGGCCACAUUGCGACUGAGAUACGGCCCAGACUCCUACGGGCGGCAGCAGUGGGGAAUAUUGCACAAUGGGCGGAAGCCUGAUGCAGCAACGCUGCGUGCGGGAUGACGGCCUUCGGGUUGUAAACCGCUUUCGCCUGUGACGAAGCGUGAGUGACGGUAAUGGGUAAAGAAGCACCGGCUAACUACGUG